AGUGAACGCUGGCGGUAGGCCUAACACAUGCAAGUCGAACGGCAGCACGGUAAGAGCUUGCUCUUACGGGUGGCGAGUGGCGGACGGGUGAGGAACACAUCGGAAUCUACUUUUUCGUGGGGGAUAACGUAGGGAAACUUACGCUAAUACCGCAUACGACCUACGGGUGAAAGCAGGGGAUCUUCGGACCUUGCGCGAUUGAAUGAGCCGAUGUCGGAUUAGCUAGUUGGCGGGGUAAAGGCCCACCAAGGCGACGAUCCGUAGCUGGUCUGAGAGGAUGAUCAGCCCAACUGGAACUGAGACACGGUCCAGACUCCUACGGGAGGCAGCAGUGGGGAAUAUUGGACAAUGGGCGCAAGCCUGAUCCAGCCAUACCGCGUGGGUGAAGAAGGCCUUCGGGUUGUAAAGCCCUUUUGUUGGGAAAGAAAAGCAGCAGGUUAAUACCCCGCUGUUCUGACGGUACCCAAAGAAUAAGCACCGGCUAACUUCGUG
rnacentral:rRNA from 1 species